rnacentral:rRNA from 1 species
GCCCAAGACAUGCAAGUCUAUUGAACGGACGAGAAGCUUGCUUCUCUGAUGUUAGCGGCGGACGGGUGAGUAACACGUGGAUAACCUACCUAUAAGACUGGGAUAACUUCGGGAAACCGGAGCUAAUACCGGAUAAUAUUUUGAACCGCAUGGUUCAAAAGUGAAAGACGGUCUUGCUGUCACUUAUAGAUGGAUCCGCGCUGCAUUAGCUAGUUGGUAAGGUAACGGCUUACCAAGGCAACGAUGCAUAGCCGACCUGAGAGGGUGAUCGGCCACACUGGAACUGAGACACGGUCCAGACUCCUACGGGAGGCAGCAGUAGGGAAUCUUCCGCAAUGGGCGAAAGCCUGACGGAGCAACGCCGCGUGAGUGAUGAAGGUCUUCGGAUCGUAAAACUCUGUUAUUAGGGAAGAACAUAUGUGUAAGUAACUGUGCACAUCUUGACGGUACCUAAUCAGAAAGCCACGGCUAACUACGUGCCAGCAGCCGCGGUAAUACGUAGGUGGCUAGCGUUAUCCGGAAUUAUUGGGCGUAAAGCGCGCGUAGGCGGUUUUUUAAGUCUGAUGUGAAAGCCCACGGCUCAACCGUGGAGGGUCAUUGGAAACUGGAAAACUUGAGUGCAGAAGAGGAAAGUGGAAUUCCAUGUGUAGCGGUGAAAUGCGCAGAGAUAUGGAGGAACACCAGUGGCGAAGGCGACUUUCUGGUCUGUAACUGACGCUGAUGUGCGAAAGCGUGGGGAUCAAACAGGAUUAGAUACCCUGGUAGUCCACGCCGUAAACGAUGAGUGCUAAGUGUUAGGGGGUUUCCGCCCCUUAGUGCUGCAGCUAACGCAUUAAGCACUCCGCCUGGGGAGUACGACCGCAAGGUUGAAACUCAAAGGAAUUGACGGGGACCCGCACAAGCGGUGGAGCAUGUGGUUUAAUUCGAAGCAACGCGAAGAACCUUACCAAAUCUUGACAUCCUUUGACAACUCUAGAGAUAGAGCUUUCCCCUUCGGGGGACAAAGUGACAGGUGGUGCAUGGUUGUCGUCAGCUCGUGUCGUGAGAUGUUGGGUUAAGUCCCGCAACGAGCGCAACCCUUAAGCUUAGUUGCCAUCAUUAAGUUGGGCACUCUAAGUUGACUGCCGGUGACAAACCGGAGGAAGGUGGGGAUGACGUCAAAUCAUCAUGCCCCUUAUGAUUUGGGCUACACACGUGCUACAAUGGACAAUACAAAGGGCAGCGAAACCGUGAGGUCAAGCAAAUCCCAUAAAGUUGUUCUCAGUUCGGAUUGUAGUCUGCAACUCGACUACAUGAAGCUGGAAUCGCUAGUAAUCGUAGAUCAGCAUGCUACGGUGAAUACGUUCCCGGGUCU